rnacentral:tRNA from 1 species
GUGCCUGGAGCUCGAGCGGCAGAGCAGCGGGUUCUUACCCCGCGAGGUGCAGGUUCAAGCCCUGCCGGGCACACCA